rnacentral:rRNA from 1 species
UACGUAGGGUGCAAGCGUUGUCCGGAAUUAUUGGGCGUAAAGAGCUCGUAGGCGGUUUGGUGAGUCGGGUGUGAAAUCUCCACGCUCAACGUGGAGGGGCCACCCGAUACUGCCAUGACUAGAGUCCGGUAGGGGAGUGUGGAAUUCCCGGUGUAGCGGUGAAAUGCGCAGAUAUCGGGAGGAACACCAAUGGCGAAGGCAGCUCGCUGGGACGGUACUGACGCUGAGACGCGAAAGCGUGGGGAGCGAACAGG